UACGGUAGGUCCGGGCGUUAUCCGGAUUUAUUGGGUUUAAAGGGAGCGUAGGCCGGCUUUUAAGUCAGCUGUGAAAGUCCGCGGCUCAACCGUGGAACAGCCCUUGAUACUGCGCGACUUGAAUCCGGGAGAGGGUGGCGGAAUUCCAGGUGUAGGAGUGAAAUCCGUAGAUAUCUGGAGGAACAUCAGUGGCGAAGGCGGCCACCUGGACCGGUAUUGACGCUGAGGCGCGAAAGCGUGGGGAGCAAACAGG
rnacentral:rRNA from 1 species